UUACGAUUUGAGAAAGAUUGUCAAAGUUAGGGUUCAACGAUCACUUUGCAUGCAUAUGUUCGAUCAAACAAAACUCAUAAACUCCAUUAGAUGAUAAACACAUUCACAAAGUCCUCUCAAUGUGUUUAUCUCUAACACACAUUGUGAGUUUUUCCCAUUUUGAUCCAUUGUUGAUCUCUCACACAAUCUAUCAAAAUGACAACUUUUUUUAGGUUCAA
rnacentral:lncRNA from 1 species